rnacentral:rRNA from 1 species
GCUUAACACAUGCAAGUCGAGGGGCAGCACAAGGCAGCAAUGCUGAGGUGGCGACCGGCGCACGGGUGCGUAACGCGUAUCCAACCUUCCCGUUACUCAUGGAUAGCCUUCCGAAAGGGAGAUUAAUACAUGAUGGUGUUGAAAUUCCGCAUGUUAUUUCAACUAAAGAUUUAUCGGUAACGGAUGGGGAUGCGUGACAUUAGAUAGAUGGCGGGGUAACGGCCCACCAUGUCCGCGAUGUCUAGGGGUUCUGAGAGGAAGGUCCCCCACACUGGAACUGAGACACGGUCCAGACUCCUACGGGAGGCAGCAGUGAGGAAUAUUGGUCAAUGGCCGGAAGGCUGAACCAGCCAAGUGGCGUGAAGGAUGAAGGUUCUAUGGAUUGUAAACUUCUUUUAUGAGGGAAUAAAACCUCCCACGUGUGGGAGCUUGUAUGUACCUUAUGAAUAAGCAUCGGCUAACUCCGUGCCAGCAGCCGCGGUAAUACGGAGGAUGCGAGCGUUAUCCGGAUUUAUUGGGUUUAAAGGGUGCGUAGGCGGAAGAUUAAGUCAGUGGUCAAAUCGUGAGGCUCAACCUCAUCCAGCCAUUGAAACUGGUUUUCUUGAGUGGAAGAGAAGUAUGCGGAAUGCGUGGUGUAGCGGUGAAAUGCAUAGAUAUCACGAA